AAAUAUCAAAUAUAUAAUAUUAAACUGGCCCGCCGGGCGAUUUUGCUGAUAAGACUACUAAUCCCAUAGUGCUUUGCGGCGUUAGCGCGCGAGACGAAGCAAGCCCUCUUUUAUGUUUACGAUCAUUAGCAUCCAUGCUAGUAGAAUCAGUGUGUGCAGCGUUACCCUCAGUCUUAAACAACUGAAGAUACUCCUCUAAGCACCCAGUUUACUCAGCGAGUUUCCGACUUUGAACGCCUAGAAAGAAGGUAUCUGGCUGGAACAGAUCAUGUACCUGAAGGUAGCUGACAACAACCGGGCAGACACCCACCUUGCCUUCUUCAGUGAAGCUGUGAAUGAGCAUGGCUUUCCUCUGAGGAGAUCAUGGCGGAGAAAAUGUAGGUGUUGCAGAAUUAAUGUUCUCAGUUCGUGGAACUGACACCAACAGCUUCAUUGCAGGAAAAAGUGUACACAAUCAACGGCCAGCCUGGAUGUCUUUAGAGAUGCGUGGGACAACCAUCCAAUCAGGACAGAGGAAAACAUGACACCAAAUCAGCUGUGGCAUCUGGGCCAGGCUCUGAAUCCUGUUUCUGAUCCAGGGGCAAAUGGUAUACCGGUACCAGAGAUUGAAUGGGAGGAGAAUGGAUACAUGACUGAACCUCAUCCUGGGAUCAGUGUCCCUGUACUGGACAGUCCUCUUUCAGAUCAUGAAAUGUUGGAACUGCAGGACAACAUAAUCCUUUGCAACAUUCAGACUCUUGGGAGUGGACAUAUAUCUUCACACUGUCCAGUAUGUUGAGAACUUACUUGAGGCUAGAUGAUUACAUGUGUGAAGAAGGAAGGAGAGAGAAGGUAGGGAGUUAGGAAGAAAGAAAACAAUUAAUGAGACAGGAAGGAAGGAAGUUAAAAAGUGAAGGAGUGGUCCAUUUUAAGGUUAAUGUACUGUAUAUUGUUAUUCAAGGGAUUAACCUUUGUAAAUAUGAAAUGCUAAAGGAUAGACCCCAAAAUAGAUUUCUAAAUUCAUUUAUAGUUGUGUAUUCCCUUAAAGGCUUUAUCAGCCUGAUUUAUUUUAGACCAGGAAUGUAUUUGAAAAGGCUGCUGUCCACUUCAUCUAUGCUACAAUUCUUCAAAAUGUAGAUGUUCUAUCAUUGCUAGUGUUGGUUUAGUAACAUACAUCUUCCUGUGUAUCCAGCUCUAAUAAAAACAUUUAAAGGUGAAGCACCUACUUAUCAGGAGAUCCAUUUAUUUUUACAUGUUAUUGUUUGAAUUUUGUCUCGUUUCAUAACUUUUGCUCAACAUUUAAGGGGAACUGUGUUACCCUGCGAUCAUCUUCAUUACACUUGAAAACUUGUACUAUACCUCCGUCCGUCUACUUAUUAAAUGGAAUAACAUGACAAGA